CUGGAGCUCCCUAUACACCUGAGACCUUCUGUGAAGAAGCAUAUUCAGCCUUGAUGAAAGAAUGCAGAUCACUGGGACUCAAAAUGUGUCCUAAGGGUAGUUGCUUUGUGGCAAACAGCAGAUGCUUAGAGAAGAAUACAAGAAACAGGCAUUAGCCCAUGUGAAUGCUGGAUGAAGUCCUCUCUGCAGCCUGGAAGCAGUAUUUUUUCCAAGAUGUGUCGUGGCAAAUGAAGUCCCACCCAGGAGAGUCCUUCUGCCCUGCUGAGGCAGUAAGCUCUGUAUAUACUAUGGGAUCUCUUCCAUUGCUUUUUGAUCUGCUUGGGCUUGCAACUCCCUUCUCUCUCUACCUCUCAGGAAAAACUAUUUCAAAAAAUACAGAUUUUUUUUUUUAAAGUGUUUCUUAGGGAGUGUGAAAUACCUUGCCAUGUAAAGGUGUGUGGGAGAUGUUCUAUGGUUGAACCAGCUAAUGAGACACCUGGGCAGGGGCAAACAGGCUGAGCAGGUUCUUGUUUCAUAAUUGGAAUCACACAUCUUGCAUUUUUUUCCCCUUUUUUUAAAUCAGGUUUUUUUACUCUAUCCAAACCACAGGCUAUUGUCUCUACAACAGACAGCUCAGCAUCACAACUCCUUAAGUGGAUAUGAAGAGUUUAAGCUCAUGAAUUCUUAAAAGUUUGAAAUGCAGGUGUAUUCACUUCUUAUUGUUUGAGUCCAAAGCUCAGAAUACUGAGCUUUGCAAAGUGACACAGAGCACAAACUGACUGUGCUAAUCUCAGAGUUCUUCAUUGCUUUUGCAACACUGACAUAUUGGAAAGGGAAAAGGUUUUUGUUGUAUGCUGUGCCGCUGAGGAUGCUAUGCUGGUGGCAGGCUCCUGUGACUACGUAUCUGUUCCCAGGCAGAGGUUGAUCAGGUUGUAUGUGAGCAUAUGCUUUGCUGAAUGAACCUCCCUGAUCAGUACAGCCAACGCAAUCAGCUAUGAACAUCUCUUGGCUCUAACACUGGCAUAUAUAAAAAGGGGCGAUGCAGAGAGGUGAGAUCUGAGCUGGUUUUUGUGCCUGUUUCAGAAAUAUGUUAUCUGUGCAAUAUUCAUGGAUGUCACUUUUCAGUGUGCCCGAUGUUAGGGAUGAAUCUUGGAGAAGUGACCAGCCAUAGCUGUAAGGCAAACGCCAAAGUUGGGCACAGCGCUUUCCAAUAUGGAUCUAACUGCUCUGUUUGUCACUUGGUUAUUAGCUGUGGCUGAAGGAGGAACUAAAUCCGGAAUCCAAAUGAAAGAUCUCAAUAUGUAUAUAAUAAUAUAAGAAAAACAACAACAGAAAAUCCAUUUUUACUCUCUUAAUAUUGUCACUCUUUACAUGCAUCAAUGCUUCUGUGUAUAGGCUGCGUCCUAAUUUGUGGGUUCCAGCCCCACAGAGAGAACAGUGAUCAGGAGUGAACUAUCAGCCACAUUGCUGCCCCCAGCAAAGAUGAAUUCACAGCCCUCAAUGGAUUUUGCAAAUGGAUUUACAGUGUUCUUACGCUGGUGUAGAAGAUGGUAUCUCCCAGAGACAAGCAAAAAGCUCACAGGAAACACUUUGUGAAUAAUAAUUACAGAGCUGUGUUCAUGUCUGAUUGUUUUGAGAUUUCUGUGACAAAGCUGCGCGUACUGAGGUGGAUUUGCUCUUUCAUUACAUGUUACUCAAGGACCUCUUUUUUGCUUCUGGGUGAUUGAGGAAAAGUGAGAAAACACUGAAAUUGAACACUGAAAUUCCCAGUGGUGCGAGAAGAGCCCUAGGAGGCUGGAUGUGUCUUGUAAUGGCAGCAGACCCUUUGAAGAUGGAAUAGCAGAGGCGUCAAGUUUGAAAAUCGUGGUAUGAUUAUAUAAGAUCAGUUUAGCCUAAAUGAUAUAAUAUUUGAUUGCAGAGGAAACAGAAGAAAAGAGUAAGUCAGUUUUUAGAUGUUAGGGAAGAGUAGCUCCUUUUGGGCAGGUGACAUUGCUUUCUCCAUUUUUGUUUCUGCGCAAAUGUAGAUGUUGAUUCCUGAAAAGAUUAAAAAUCCACUGACAAAUUACUGCCUGGAACUGUUGCUUCUAUCUUUUAUAACAGCGAUUCCUGGUGUGCUAUACAGAAACUCAUUGCCAUGGCAGUGGUGAUGUAUAUGGAAAUCUGAAAAUGUGCUACGUCUUUAAUGAGCUCUGAGGCAAAAUCAUCUAUGAACAGCUCUUCGGUUAUCAGAAAAGCUUUUGAGAGCGCUCAGUGUUUGCAGAUUCUGUAAUCUAUUUUCUGGGUUUUGGGGCCGUUACUGUUCAUAGCUGAGUUCUGUGAAAGGUUGAUUAUUUUAAUCCAUGUGGUUUUCCAUUUCUGGAUGACUUUUAAAGAUAGUCAUAGAAUGUAAUGUCUCCAGAUAAGUAUUUUCCCAAGUGACUUUUAUGUGAAUGAUGAUUGCAGGCAAGGAAGAAGGAUAUUAAAAAGGAAAGUUGUAU